rnacentral:rRNA from 1 species
UUAAGCAUAUCAAUAAGCGGAGGAAAAGAAACCAACAGGGAUUGCCUCAGUAACGGCGAGUGAAGCGGCAAGAGCUCAAAUUUGAAAGCUGGCCCCCUCGGGGUCCGCAUUGUAAUUUGCAGAGGAUGCUUCGGGAGUGGCCCCCAUCUAAGUGCCCUGGAACGGGCCGUCAUAGAGGGUGAGAAUCCCGUCUGGGAUGGGGUGCCCACGCCCGUGUGAAGCUCCUUCGACGAGUCGAGUUGUUUGGGAAUGCAGCUCUAAAUGGGUGGUAAAUUUCAUCUAAAGCUAAAUACUGGCCGGAGACCGAUAGCGCACAAGUAGAGUGAUCGAAAGAUGAAAAGCACUUUGAAAAGAGAGUUAAACAGCACGUGAAAUUGUUGAAAGGGAAGCGCUUGCGACCAGACUCGCUCGCAGGGUUCAGCCGGCAUUCGUGCCGGUGUACUUCCCUGCGGGCGGGCCAGCGUCGGUUUGGGCGGCCGGUCAAAGGCCCUUGGAAUGUAACGCCCCCCGGGGCGUCUUAUAGCCAAGGGUGCCAUGCGGCCAGCCCGGACCGAGGAACGCGCUUCGGCUCGGACGCUGGCAUAA